AGAGUUUGAUCCUGGCUCAGAACGAACGCUGGCGGCACGCUUAACACAUGCAAGUCGAACGGAUGGUAGCAAUAUCAUUAGUGGCGAACGGGUGAGUACAAAGUAGGAACCUGCCCUUGGGUAGGGGAUAACUAUGGGAAACUAUAGCUAAUACCCUAUAAGCCCUUUGGGGGAAAGAUUAAUUGCCGAAGGGAGGGCCUACGUCGGAUUAGGUAGUUGGUAGGGUAAAAGCCUACCAAGCCUGAGAUCCGUAGCUGGUCUGAGAGGACGAUCAGCCACACUGGGACUGGGACACGGCCCAGACUCCUACGGGAGGCAGCAGUGGGGAAUAUUGGACAAUGGGGGCAACCCUGAUCCAGCGAUGCCGCGUGAGUGAUGAAGGCCUUCGGGUUGUAAAGCUCUUUUGCACGCGACGAUGAUGACGGUAGCGUGAGAAUAAGCCCCGGCUAACUCUGUGCCAGCAGCCGCGGUAAUACAGAGGGGGCUAGCGUUGUUCGGAAUGACUGGGCGUAAAGGGCGCGUAGGUGGCCCAACAAGUCAGAUGUGAAAGGCCUAGGCUUAACCUGGGGAUGGCAUUUGAGACUGUGGGGCUCGAGUCCGGGAGAGGAUAGCGGAAUUCCUAGCGUAGAGGUGAAAUUCGUAGAUAUUAGGAAGAACACCGGUGGCGAAGGCGGCUAUCUGGAACGGAACUGACACUGAGGCGCGAAAGCGUGGGGAGCAAACAGGAUUAGAUACCCUGGUAGUCCACGCCGUAAACGAUGAGUGCUAGACGUUGGAAGGUUUACCUUCCAGUGUCGCAGCUAACGCAUGAAGCACUCCGCCUGGGGAGUACGGUCGCAAGAUUAAAACUCAAAGGAAUUGACGGGGGCCCGCACAAGCGGUGGAGUAUGUGGUUUAAUUCGACGCAACGCGAAGAACCUUACCAGCUCUUGACAUGGGAAGUAUGGGUCACAGAAAUGAGAUCCUUCAGUUUCGGCUGGCUUCCACACAGGUGCUGCAUGGCUGUCGUCAGCUCGUGUCGUGAGAUGUUGGUGUUAAGUCCCGCAACGAGCGCAACCCCCAUGUUCAGUUGCCAUCAGGUUAUGCUGGGCACUUUGAACAAACUGCCGGUGAUAAGCCGGAGGAAGGCGGGGAUGACGUCAAGUCCUCAUGGCCCUUACGGGCUGGGCUACACACGUACUACAAUGGCGGUGACAGAGGGACGCAAUAGGGCAACCUGGAGCAAAUCCUCAAAAGCCGUCUCAGUUCAGAUUGUUCUCUGCAACUCGAGAGCAUGAAGUUGGAAUCGCUAGUAAUCGCUAAUCAGCAGGUAGCGGUGAAUACGUUCCCGGGCCUUGUACACACCGCCCGUCACACCAUGGGAGUUGGUUCUACCUGAAGCUGGUGUUGCUAACCGCAAGGAGGCAGCCAACCACGGUAGGGUCAGUGACUGGGGUGAAGUCGUAACAAGGUA
rnacentral:rRNA from 1 species